AUUGCAAAAUCAAGCUAUCCUACUACAGAUGCAACACGGAAUCCUAAUAUGAACACACCACCUACCUCUAUAAAUACAGAACAUUGGGCCAUUAUUCAGGUACGUUUUUCAUUGUUCUUCAACACAUAGCCUUACGCAUAUAUUUCCCUUUCUGACUUAAGCAUCGGAGGGGCGACGAGAACACACCUCGUUGCCUUUGUUUCAGGUACCGGAAGACCACUAUCGUGAUCAACCCGAAUCAUCAAACUCGGAAAAUCAACAGGUACGAUUUUUGGUAGCAUCAACAGGGUUACGUGAACUUUAGAAGGAUAAAAUAUAUUAAGAAUAUUUUAUUUAAGUGCACCUGCCUGGAAGUGACAAAGCUUCUUAACAUGGCCAGCGAAAAAUUAUUUGGCAAGCACGUGAUAUAAAUUGCAUGCAGAAUGAAUUAUUAGGCCUCUUAUGCAAGUGAAAGCCAAGCCGUCAUCCACCCGUCAUGCUCUGAAAUGGGACAAUUGUAAAGAUUUCCAUAUUUCUCGAAUUAAAGGUUGGAUGUACUCUAAAGUAAGUUACGUGUUACUUGUUUUGUACAAACACUUAUUGUACUAAUAAAG
rnacentral:lncRNA from 1 species